rnacentral:rRNA from 1 species
UACGAAGGGGGCUAGCGUUGCUCGGAAUCACUGGGCGUAAAGCGCACGUAGGCGGCUCUUUAAGUCAGGGGUGAAAUCCUGGAGCUCAACUCCAGAACUGCCUUUGAUACUGAGGGGCUCGAGUCCGGGAGAGGUGAGUGGAACUGCGAGUGUAGAGGUGAAAUUCGUAGAUAUUCGCAAGAACACCAGUGGCGAAGGCGGCUCACUGGCCCGGUACUGACGCUGAGGUGCGAAAGCGUGGGGAGCAAACAGG